rnacentral:rRNA from 1 species
UAAUACGAAGGUGGCGAGCGUUGUUCGGAAUCACUGGGCUUAAAGCGCGCGUAGGCGGAAAUACAAGUGUCUUGUGAAAUCCCCCGGCUUAACCGUGGAAUUGCUUGGCAAACAGUAUUUCUUGAGGCAAGUAGGGGUGUGUGGAACUCUUGGUGGAGCGGUGGAAUGCGUAGAUAUCAAGAGGAACGCCAAUGGUGAAGACAGCACACUGGGCUUGUCCUGACGCUGAGGUGCGAAAGCGUGGGGAGCGAACGGGAUUAGAUACCCCGGUAGUCCACGCUGUAAACGAUGUCUACUAAGUUGUGGAAGUUCUGACACUUUCACGGCCGGAGCAAAAGUGUUAAGUAGACCGCCUGGGGAGUACGGCCGCAAGGCUA